rnacentral:rRNA from 1 species
GACGAACGCUGGCGGCGUGCUUAACACAUGCAAGUCGAACGAUGAAGCGGUGCUUGCACCGUGGAUUAGUGGCGAACGGGUGAGUAAUACGUGAGUGACCUACCUUUGACUCUGGGAUAAGCCUGGGAAACUGGGUCUAAUACCGGAUACGACCAAUCUCUACAUGGGGUGUUGGUGGAAAGCGUUAUGGAGUGGUUUUAGAUGGGCUCACGGCCUAUCAGCUUGUUGGUGAGGUAAUGGCUUACCAAGGCGACGACGGGUAGCCGGCCUGAGAGGGUGACCGGCCACACUGGGACUGAGACACGGCCCAGACUCCUACGGGAGGCAGCAGUGGGGAAUAUUGCACAAUGGGCGCAAGCCUGAUGCAGCGACGCCGCGUGAGGGAUGACGGCCUUCGGGUUGUAAACCUCUGUUAGCAUCGAAGAAGCGAAAGUGACGGUAGGGCAGAAAAGCGCG